AAGAGCCAACGGUGAAUGCCUUGGCGCCUAUGACCGAAGAAGGACGUGGAUGACUGCGAAAAGUUACGGUGAGCCGUCUAUCAGGCUUUGACCCGUAAAUGUCCGAAUGAGGAAACUCAGCACUCGUUAUUGAGUGUUAUUCCAGUGUGAAUACAUAGCACUGGUAAAGGGAACCGGGGGAAUUGAAACAUCUCAGUACCCCGAGGAAAAAAAAAAAAA
rnacentral:rRNA from 1 species